rnacentral:lncRNA from 1 species
GCUCGCAUUGUUUGAGUUUUUGCAUGCACAACAACAGGGAGAAACUUUUCUUUCUCACACUAAUUUGUACUGGUGAAAUGGAAAGCAGGUUAGUAUUUAUGUCCAGCCAUGUGUGAAAUUAGUAUCCUCCAAAUGCACUGAAAUGAAUGCUUGUGGUAAUAAAGAAGUAGUCACUGUUUAAUUUUUAUGCAUACUUCACCUUAAAAUUGGUUUUCUGAAUAGCUGCUACGUGCAUUUAAAAUUCUCCCUGAAACACUGCAAUAUUUAAUACUUUUUUCUGGUCCAGCUCUGUAACUCUUUCUGCAAUGGGCAGAGCUUGCCUGGGAGGUUGCAGGGAGUUUAGAAGCUCCUGGGAAAGUUUUGGCCCUUUUAUCAAGUACAAUGCAUCAAUCAGUGGGCACGCAUCCAAACCCAGCCUUCUGCUACCCUCUAUUGGGAAGAGAUGAGAUGAAGGAAACCCAUGUUCCUGCGUCAUCUGAAAUACUCCGG